rnacentral:rRNA from 1 species
UACGUAGGGUGCAAGCGUUAUCCGGAAUUAUUGGGCGUAAAGAGCUCGUAGGCGGUUUGUCGCGUCUGCUGUGAAAACUGGAGGCUCAACCUCCAGCCUGCAGUGGGUACGGGCAGACUAGAGUGCGGUAGGGGAGAUUGGAAUUCCUGGUGUAGCGGUGGAAUGCGCAGAUAUCAGGAGGAACACCAAUGGCGAAGGCAGAUCUCUGGGCCGUAACUGACGCUGAGGAGCGAAAGCGUGGG